rnacentral:sRNA from 1 species
CUUCCUCGAUCUGCUGGGGCGCGAUGAAAUGGAUAUGGGCGUCCAUGCCGCCGGCCGUCAGUAUCCUGCCUUCGCCUGCAAUGGCCUCGGUCGAGGGUCCGAUGAUGAUGUCGACGCCGGGUUGGGUAUCGGCAUUGCCUGCCUUGCCGAUCCCGGCGAUGAGACCGUUCUUGAGGCCGAUAUCAGCCUUGUAGAUGCCGGUAUGAUCCACCACCAACGCAUUGGUGAUCACGGUAUCGACGGCGCCCUCGGCCCGGGUGCGCUGCGACUGGCCCAUGCCGUCGCGGAU